CCCUUAGAUGUUCUGGGCCGCACGCGCGCUACACUGAUCAGUGCAACAAGCAUCCGUCCUUGGCCGACAGGCCCGGGCAAUCUUUGAACGCUGAUCGUGAUGGGGAUAGACUUUUGCAAUUUUUGGUCUUCAACGAGGAAUUCCUAGUAAACGCAAGUCAUCAACUUGCAUUGAUUACGUCCCUGCCCUUUGUACACACCGCCCGUCGCACCUACCGAUUGAAUGGUCCGGUGAAGUCUCCGGAUUGGCGUGCACCCUCGGGUGCUGCCGAGAAGUUGGCUAAACCUUACCAUUUAGAGGAAGGUGAAGUCGUAACA
rnacentral:rRNA from 1 species